rnacentral:rRNA from 1 species
CCUACGGGAGGCAGCAGUGAGGAAUAUUGGUCAAUGGACGAGAGUCUGAACCAGCCAAGUAGCGUGAAGGAUGACUGCCCUAUGGGUUGUAAACUUCUUUUAUAUGGGAAUAAAACAGGGUAUGCAUACCCUCUUGUAUGUACCAUAUGAAUAAGGAUCGGCUAACUCCGUGCCAGCAGCCGCGGUAAUACGGAGGAUCCGAGCGUUAUCCGGAUUUAUUGGGUUUAAAGGGAGCGUAGGUGGAUUGUUAAGUCAGUUGUGAAAGUUUGCGGCUCAACCGUGAAAUUGUAGUUGAAACUGGCAGGCUUGAGUGCAGUAGAGGUAGGCGGAAUUCGUGGUGUAGCGGUGAAAUGCUUAGAGAUCACGAAGAACUCCGAUUGCGAAGGCAGCUCACUGGACUGCAACUGACACUGAUGCUCGAAAGUGUGGGUAUCAAACAGGAUUAGAUACCCUGGUAGUC